ensembl:lncRNA
CUAGCCCCCGGCUCCAGACUGCAGUGCUGCUAGCGGCUGCGAUCCUGGCUUGCAGUUAGUUCUUGGCCAGAUUCACUGGGGAUGAAAAGGAAGGGCAGAUGUGUCAAUGAGGAACCAGUAGCAGCUGCAGCUGCUGCUGGUUAGAGUUACUAGCAUCCAAAUCCCACUGUCUGUCCCCAAGACCUCAAGACACUGACUGGUCCUGAGUGGUUUCUUCCUCUCUAGUCACUUCUGCUCUGAGACCAUUGCCUCUGCCUGGACAUACUGAUGGUGAACCCCACAACAGAUUUAGUUUUCGAAACCCCGUGUCUGCUCCGAUAUCAUUCAGUGCAAAAAUGCCUACAGGGAACUUGGAAUGAGCAGCAGCCUCUUAGGUCCCGGGCCAGAUCCCUCCACCCAAGCAGGAAAAGCUGCUCCACAGGCUUCUGCACCCUUCUCCUCCCACCCGCCCCUACCCUUCCCCUCCCAUCCUUGGCUGCCUCCCCCAUGACCUGCGCCUCCCAUCUCCAUCAGAGGAAACGGGCCUUCCUGAGCUGGAGGCUGACAGACGUGGAGACAGAGCUGCGCCAGAAUCAUGUGGAGGUGAUGGGUUCACUUCUGGGCAGUCAGAUGAGCCAGACAUAGCCAGGCCUGGCUGCUGUGGAGGAUAAUGUUCCCUCUGGGGAAGAACACAAGGAACAGCAACAAAAAAUGACCAUGAGCCGUCAAUUUGGAAGCACAUUCCCCCGGCAGAGGAUGGUGUGGCUGUCCUUUUUUCUUUUAGUGAACCCUCCAGUGC